rnacentral:rRNA from 1 species
UACAGAGGUCCCAAGCGUUGUUCGGAUUCACUGGGCGUAAAGGGUGCGUAGGCGGUCGGGUAAGUCUGAUGUGAAAUCUCACAGCUUAACUGUGAAACUGCAUUGGAUACUAUCCGGCUCGAGGAAUGGAGGGGAGACUGGAAUACUUGGAGUAGCAGUGAAAUGCGUAGAUAUCAAGUGGAACACCAGUGGCGAAGGCGAGUCUCUGGACAUUUCCUGACGCUGAGGCACGAAAGCCAGGGGAGCAAACGGG